UCCUUCCUCCGCAGAGAGUUUGCUCGGGACUCGGUUUUGGGGCGUGUCUGCUUCCUCCUGUGGAUCAGGGCUCGGACACCAGCCCUCAGCCCCCGGGGGAUCUUCCAGUGCUGCAGAGAAGCUUAGAGGUAUCGGACACGGCCAAGACCUUGAACGUGAGGCCGGAAUUGGAACUGAAACGCCUUCGCUUUAAUUUCCCUCUACGGCCUCAAUUUCUCCGUUCUAACAGAAUAAGUGAGGGCAUUGGACCGUUUCGGCGAAUCUCGUUUGUUUCCAGGCAUGGGCUCCUUUGAGAAUCUGGUGAGAACUGUAGACCACCUCGACAGAGAAAUGCACAUGCAUACUAAAUUUUGCGAAAAGGUUUGGGCAGUUCUGAAUUGGUGAUUUUUUUAGGGAUCUUUUCCAUUUGAAUGACUCCUGCCUUUGCUCAGUUGGCAGGCAGAGAAGGGGCGGGCUGAGCAACAGCUGCCACUCCCUCCACCACUGGGUCUGGUUCUGCUGACCUAGCCGCGCCCCUCCUCACUCACCCCGCCCCAGCUCCGCGUCUGCACUUACCAGAACUUAGUGGGGAAAGAUGGCUUUUCUCAAUACAGUGGGCUGGAAUUGGUUUUGACCCAACCCUCGUGUGAGGUGGUCACCUGAACCAAAAGUGGAACCUCCCACUCCCCAAUCACCUGCUAGGCUGCUGAAAAUAGCUUAGUGUAUACAACUUAACUACAGCCAGACUUUGGAAAGUCUGGCCCCUGUGUCUGGAAAUGGAAUCUACAGGUCAUUGUGUAAGGUUGUUAAAGCAUGUCGUGGGCUCUGGGUAAAACGUUUUAAAUCCUCCUUGUUCUUACCAGAAUCUCAAUAACUGACGAGGGAUUAAAAAAAAACCUGUUAAUUGUGAAGUUCCAACAUCAAACGUAAUGAUGCUAAUAAUGGCUGCCCUCUGCUGUGCCUCAGGCAUGCACGUGUUUGCACGAUUAAUAUUCCUGUGAUUUUACUCAUUUUACAGAAGAAGAUGCCUGGGACUCAGAUACUAGAUAACUUGUUCUAGCUCCCCUUGUUCUGUGUCGCACAGUGCUAGGAAGUGACUGAGUCAGGAUUUAAACCGUCUCAAAAGCCAGGCCGUCCACUGCUGCCCAUCUCUCAACAUCUCUUAGAAAAUACUAAGAAACGUAAAUAUGACGCAUUUUUUCCCCUUAGAAAUUGCCAAGUGAGUUUCAUCAAGACCAAAUAUGUGUUCUUAAGCUGUCAUAUGAAAAUACUGCUUCAGAUAAAACCACACAUCCUUGAGGGCAAGGACUGUAUCUAGAUCAGUUGAAUUCCCAAAGCUUAACACAGCCCUUGGAGGUCAGUAGGUGCUAUGUAGUUUUGGUGAAUUCUUCAUUUUACCUUAUUUCCACUCACCAUGGAUGGCAUUACAUACUAAAAACUAAAAAGCUUUAAAAUGCUUCAUUUUAGGUAAGCAUGUUUCCAUCAUAAAGUUAGAUGUUUUCUGAGAAUGUGGCUCAUUACUUGGGUUUUUGGAAAGCGAGAACCUCUUGAGAGUAAAGUCUGCUAAUUCGCACGGCCUGAUGUGGCCUGAAAUUUCAAGUCUUUACAUACAGGCCUAACUCACUGUGUGAGUCACCUCAAGACUUAGAAUGAGAGAGAGAAGGCACAAAACAUGUGAUCUGAGAGAACAAAAAGCCAGGCCUGCCUCGUAUACCAGUAACACAGCAUCUUUCCAGCCAUAGAAAAAGCCCUGAACUUAUGUGGAGACUUUACAUUCAGGAAAUUGACUUGGUAUCAACUCAAUUUUUAAUCCCCACGAUUAUCCACUUACAGAUAGAGGCGCGGUAGCGGGAAGUCAGUGUGUGUUGAUCAUUUUGGAAGACAGGAGUCAAGAGAGCUGUGUCCUGGUUGGUUCUGCUCUGCUGUGGGACCACGGCACCUUCUGUGUCGUCAGUUCUCCCUCUUCUCUCCCCAGCCCUUGGUGAAUACCUGCUGCUUGCCCAGUGCUGUGCGGAAGCCCUUGAGAAGCUAGUAGGAGAGCCCUGGCGGAAACACAGGAUGCCGUGUGGGUGCCCACCUGGAGGGAUUGUCUAGCCAGCCUGGAGGUGCAGGGGGUGUCUCUGAGAAGGCUUCCUGGAGGAGGUGCCAUCUAAACUAGGUUUUGAAUGUCACGCAUUGCCCCAGGAAGUGGGAAGGGAUGCAGUGAAACUCAGAGAGUCCAAGCCAGCUCAUGGAGAGAAUCCUGUUAAGGAGCUGGGAUUGUGACCUUAGGCAAAAUGAUGACGUGCCCAUGGGCAGUUUCUAUCACUCUGGAAGCCUCUUAAAAAGGAGAGGAAGAGGGAAGCCAGUUUGAAGACAGUUGAAAUGAUCUAAAUGAAGGCCAGAACUGAAACAAUGGCUGGAGGUCACUUAGGAGGCCACAUUAUCUAAGGAGAUUAGCAACACUUUCCAGGUUUGCCGGUCAGAGAACUGUUCGGCCCAAGUGAGUGCGUGGCCAGUAGGCGGUACCAUUUACUGAGGAAGGAAAUUCAGGAAGUCUGCAGAUUUAGGGACUAGGGAGAGUGUUUAGUUUCCGGCAUAAGGAGUUUGAAGUACAGAUGAAAGCAGGAAUCAGUUCAUGAAAGGUCUACAAGGCCAUGUCACAAGGUUUAUCCUAAGAACCAUGGGAGCUGUGGAAGAGAAGAGAAAUGACCAGAUUUAUUCUAGAAAGAUUAUUCUGGUUACAGUGUGGAUGGCACAGGGAUCCAGGCCUGAGAUGGCAGUGAUCUAAAAGCAGGUGGCUGUGGGAAUGCAGCGCAAAUUAACAGACUGAAAGUUGUGUAGAUCAGAUUUGGUAAAAGGCUGGAUGUGAGCAGGAAGAGCAGGGAGAGAAAGUUAGCAAUGACAAUUUGCUUUCUAGUUUGAGCAGCUGAACAGGUAUUGUUGCCUGUGUCUAAUGUAACUAUUGAAUCCAGUUGACAGAGAACAGAUGAAGAACCACAUUUAAAUGGGAGAUAAUAAUAAAUGCUAAUACAUUUAUAGCUCUUCUAUGUGUCAGGAAAACUCACUCUAAUUCUCACAGUAGUCCUAUGAGAGUAUCACGAUCAUCUUCAUUUUCCAGAUGAGGACACUGAAGCCAAGAGACGUUAAGUAACUUGCCUGAGGUCACACAGCUUAGUUAGUGGUGGAGCUCGAAUUUGUACCGUCAGGCUAGAGUCUGUGCUCUCACACAGGCUGUGCCUUCCCAUGACGUCGUACCUCUGAAUGAUGAGCGCAGUUUGGACACAUUGACCUUGAGAGAUCUUUGGGGCAGCUGGGUAGAGGUAUCUAAUGAGCAGGAAGAUACAUGGGUCUCAAGUUCAAAUGAGAGAUUCAGACAGGAAAGUCAUUGUGGAGUCAGCAUGCAGGAGGCCAGUAGAGACACAGGGGAGGGCAAGGGCCCCCAAGGAGAGGUGGGAAAUGGGAGGAAAGAAACAAAGGGAACCCUGAGUGGUGAUGACCCUUCCCACUCUCUCCUACCUGUGGAUGGAAAGUGUUGCCUGCCACAUCAGUAAACAAAGGAUGUUGCAGCCAUCAAGCCGUCAGCCAUUGCAGCCACCCCAGCUGUGCAUCCAGAAGGGGUUCAGGAUGGCAAAAAGCAGGAUACGGGUCCUUGAUAGUUAAGGUGCGAGGAAUCAAAGGAAUGAUUUCAAUGAGCUCAGACUCUUGCAUCUUUCCAUACUUAGGAAAGCAUGCUAAAUUCAUUAACUUGAGAUGUCUCAUUUUCUUAAAUUAACAGUAAUCUUUUGACGUUCUGACUUUCUAGUUUUCGUUGCAAAACUAUAUAUCCUGGCCCCUCCCUUACCUCCUUGGAGCUGUCCCUCAGAGCCACCUGAGAGGCUGUCUUCCAGGCUUAAGUCCUCAGAAAUUUCACCAAAAGCAUAAUUCUCAACUUUUAGGUUGUGCAUUUUUUUCAGCCGACAAGCCACGACAAACCACUUAGUGGCCUCUUGGCUCCCUGGACAUCAUUUUUUGCCCCUCACCACAACUGAAGGGCCUCCCACUCCUCUGUCUACCACGGGUCAGCUUUGUCAGCCCCCCUCCACUUCCCCAUCUCCAGGACUCCAGAACACAUCACUUGGGACUCCAGGUGCCUCCUUAAGUUAUUAUUUAGCUUUUUACCCGUACAUUUCUUGUGUCUCCAGCUAGAUUCUAAGCUUCUGGAGGGUAAGACGCACAUUUCCCCCCAGCUUUCCCCCUCAGCCUGUAUUCCCCUGCAUAUGUAGAUUAAAUGCCCCUACGCUGUGUGCUCCCUGGGCACCCCCACUUCCUCCAUCACAGCCAGGGCCGCAUCUUGUCUCCCUGGUACCCGGCACAGGGUCCGCCACAGAAUGUAGUGAAUGAGUGAGAGUCCAUCAGUCAGUCAGUCAGUCAUCUUGCUAAGCGAGUAAUUACAGUUGCCCACUGGCUUUUGAGAACCAUAACUGGGGCCUUGUCUCCUUUGACUGUUGAUUUUAGCACCAGGGCCCUUCACAACAGUCUUGUUUGGGGAGGAAUAGGCUAGAGGUGGGGCAGUGGAGAUUAACUGUGCUUUCAUGUCAUUCUAUUCACAGCCCCAAAGCUAUUGUGGUCUGUUAUUUGACAGUUGCCUUCCUCAAACAUUGGCUGACAGAAUGGGGACUUUGGGAUGCCUUGAUAAGUGAACUUACAACAUCUCUUUGUGCACUGGUUCUGGUUAAGUCUGCGUCAACUUGAGUCCCAGGAUUCAAGUUAAUCCUCAGAGGUUGGGAGGAAAUGGGAGGCUUUUCCUAGUAAUUACUGAUCACCAGCAGGGGGAGCCCUAGGACUGCAGAAUCUCUUCCUCUAGUAUAAUAAAGCCCUUCACAGUGUUUUCAAAACUUGAAGACCCAGGGUUAGUGAAUCCCUUGCCUUCUAGCUCAAGUGUUCAUUCAGCUUUGCAAUUUAAACUGUGUGAUGACAUCAGGAAAGUAUCAAGGCCAAAAAAAGAAUCAAGCAGUAAAGCUACAGAGGAAAAGAACCUGUGAACAGUAAGGACUGGAAGGGAGUACUGAGCUUCAGGGGUGCUGGUAAUACUCUGUUUCUGGAUCUGACGUUGGUUACAGGAGCGUGUUCAGUUUGUGAAAAUUUCAUCAAGCUUUGAUACAGUAUAGUAUAUCUAUACUAUGUAUAUGUACACACACAGACACUAUAUUUCUAUCUGUAUUAAACUUCAAUAAAGUGUUUUUAAAACUGUU